GCCUUUUCGGCGCCUUGGGCCACCGCCUCGCGGUUCUCCAGCUCCAGGACUACCUGGGUCCCGCUCGAUUGCGGGGAGGGGGCCCUGCCAACCGGCCACCCACCUGCCGCUCCUUCAGCCAAUCACGGGACUCUCAUUCCUGGGCCAGUGCCUGGCUCACCCCUGUUUGUGAAGAGAGUGUCUGCGACUGGUGGCUGCAGGAGUCUGCAGAAGCUCCUUGGUUGUUUGGCAGGACAGAUGUUGGAAGAUCAGGAAACUGAGGUUCAGUGAAUUGCUGAAGGCUACUCAGCUCUGAGUGUCUGAGCCAGUACUUGAAUGGCAUUCCAGGAAAGGAAUGGGCUGUUUUUCAAAGCGCAUCAUCAGUUGCUGGACCCAGGAUUCUGACUCUCAGGGGGGUACAGCGCAUGCUGUGUAGAAAGCUGAUUACAAAAAAUCCUCUCCCGCGUUGGGCUGGGCUCCAGAGACGUGGUCAGAAUUUCUCCAUACCCGGCGCAAGGCAUGAUCGUGCCGAUUUCUCUUUUCCGGUCUCUCCAUGCAUUUUUGGUCUUGGCAUUUGCAUUUUCCUGAUGUUAAGCCCAAGGAGGCACACAGCAGGGGCUCAGAAAUGGCAGCUGAUGGAAGGAUGGACGCGCUGGAGGCAGAGGUCAGAAAUAUGCUGAGGACUUUUUAUUGGGCCAUCCGAAUCCACUCUUCACCCUUCCCCAUCCUAGUCUACUGAUCGUUAUCGCAGGGUUCCCUUGACCUCUCGCUCC
rnacentral:lncRNA from 1 species